rnacentral:lncRNA from 1 species
GGAAUCUCAGCUGCAUGUCCAGGAGGAUUAGAGUGGGUGUCAGAAGCCAAGUGUCCAGGAGCUGCAAAUCUAGAGCCCCUUGAUGCUGCCCCUAACAGCCUCUCCUUCACUCCCUUCAACUGGUUUGGUUAUUCACACCCUUCUCUCAGACCUUUGAUUUGGGAAGCUUCAAGCUUCAGUCGUUCAAGAUGCUCCUUUGGUGGUAACGAUUUAUUCUGCGGCUACUUUUGAAAACAAAGGGGGGAAAAAAAAACCGGAACAAGCCGCAUGAUGGUUGGAGGGUGGAGAAAGCGGCGCUGCGAGGUGGUGCUAAAAGUUGGGUGAGAGUAUAUCGUCUAGAGUCGCUAAACUCUUGGUAGAUUAAGGGCUGUUAAGAUUGUUAACCCUCCCAGCAACCGAUCAGUACUAGAGCACCUUACAGAGAACCCUAGUCUUAGGGUUCCCAGUCUUCCAAACUGUGCUUGUUCAAGAGUGCAUUCCAGUCACAAUGAACCCUUCAGAAAUAAUUAGUGUGGAGUAAAAUGACAGCCUGAGAGGGAGAGGCGAUGUUCCCUGCUGUGCCUGGCCUUCCCCAGUCCCUCUGCUAAACUGGAAUCUUGUGUUAUAGAUGCUCAGCAUAAAACCUAGGGACUAAAUACCAGAAAGCCAACUGUGGCGCUGCUGUUAUUCCUUAUGGUUCUGGGCUCACUGGAUGGCUCACAGACCCCAUCUCUCAUGUAGACAGACUACUAAAUGCCUGCUUGCCUCUGCUGGCCGCACUCUCUGGACUUUCCCGCUGGUGCUGGAAAUCCGCUUUCACCCCUUCACUUAGUCUGGGCUGAUAAGGGUGGUAGUCUGUUUUAGAGUGGCCUUGGGGCUUUUCUAUUGACUUUUUAUCAGAGGUGGCCCGACUAGGAGAGUGGGAAGACCACUGGGCUGAGAGUCCGACAGGAUUUUUGCUAGAGGUUUAAUGCUGGCUGUAUUGCGUCACAUCAGAGACUGAUCGGGUCUGAGGCUUUUUUUCUUACAUGAUUGGCCUGAAGCCAGAUCUCACCCUCUCCUCACUCACUUAUCUUUUCUGACUCAGUUUCCAUACAGAGCAGCCUUUUUUCUUUAUAGGGGAUGUGGUAACAAUAAAGGGGAGAAGGGUGUAUGAGAAGUAGUCCAUAAACUCC